rnacentral:rRNA from 1 species
UACAGAGGUCCCAAGCGUUGUUCGGAUUCACUGGGCGUAAAGGGUGCGUAGGUGGCGAGGUAAGUCGGAUGUGAAAGCUCGGAGCUCAACUCCGAAAUGGCAUUGGAAACUACCUUGCUUGAGGGUUGGAGGGGGGACUGGAAUUCUCGGUGUAGCAGUUAAAUGCGUAGAUAUCGAGAGGAACACCAGUGGCGAAGGCGGCUCACUGGCCCGGUACUGACGCUGAGGCGCGAAAGCGUGGGGAGCAAACAGG